rnacentral:rRNA from 1 species
UACAGAGGUCCCAAGCGUUGUUCGGAUUCACUGGGCGUAAAGGGUGCGUAGGUGGCUUGGUAAGUUCGAUGUGAAAUCUCCGGGCUUAACCCAGAAAUGGCAUUGAAUACUAUUGAGCUGGAGGUUUGGAGGGGGGACUGGAAUUCUCGGUGUAGCGGUGAAAUGCGUAGAUAUCGAGAGGAACACCUGCGGCGAAGGCGGGUUGCUGGGCUGACACUGACGCUGACAGCGCGAAAGCUAGGGGAGCGAACGGG